rnacentral:lncRNA from 1 species
CAGCCAGGAAACCAGUGACUGGAGUUUCAGAUUUCAUAGAAAGAUUUUGUUUUGCUUUUUGUAGGCCCAAAGAUGGCAGAAGGAGGCAAUAAAUUCUGUCCGAGAACCUCUCCUGGUAGAUGUUUAAAGAGAUUAUAUGAGUAAAUCAACUGUCCCAAUCCCCCAAUGUGAUAUGGACCAUCCGGUUUGAAUUUGAAUUUUCCCCGUCUUUCUUCUAGAGAACUGAUAGCAUAUAUUCUCCUUUCCAUAUAUGAAGUGCAUAAACCCUAGGACAUGGCUUUAUCAAAUUUGUAGUAGCUGCGACCAAGAAGAUGAGUCUUCACAGAAUAAUAGCCUCUGACCUUAUGGAGCACGGGCAGAAACACUAACCAGCCAGUAAUUUCCUGAUUUUCCUUUUGAGGUCAAAGAGAAAAAGAUAAUGAUUACUGCAAGUCUACAAAUAAAGCUCACUACGUUCUGCAAAUUAUACAGAUCCAGUGUUUUUGACCCUUUGAAGGCAGAAAAAGAAAAUACUCCAAGAGAAAGCUUUACAAACUGGAGCUUGCCUUCCCGUUCAUCGUGGCUUUGUCCUUUUGGAAAGUCUGCAUGACCUCUCCUCCGAGUGUUAAAUAAAACAAGGGUGCAAGGACUGAUGAUUCGAUUUGGUGAGUUAGUUACCGAAGUAGCUCUGGCAUCUGUUACUUGUACUCUGUUAUCCAUUACUUCUGUUCUCUUAAUGGCAGCAGACGUUUGAUUAACUACUGAGAUUUGGACAUGAAGGGGAUCCAAGGUGGGUUGUGAAGUAAAUCACAUAACUGCAUCUCCAUUUCAUUUUCACAUCCCCUGUUCCUCUGUUUCCAGACUUCUGGCAGACUGGCAGCUGGAGGUGUUCACCUCAGGCAGGAGAAGCUCUAACUAUUUCAAGAAUAAUUGAUUAAGAAAUACAUAAUAGCCUGAUAAUAAAACUCCU